GAAAUAGAACAGGGUGGCGAGGCUCCUAUAUUUCAAGAAAUAAAAUCUUAUGGUUCUAUUGUAAAUUGAUGCUACCACGCAAGUGGUGGAUCCCUAUAUGCAAUACCAGUCUAUGUAGUAAUACUGGUUAAAUUAACUCCCGAACGUCUAGUACCUAGCUCCUCCUCCCAAACGCUUUAUCUACCACUGGUCGUGUAGCAUGUACUCCUGCCACGUCACGGAGUAUCUUGACGCACUGGUCCCCUGCCGCGCCACGUUUCUCGUACUCUCGGUACGUGUCGCCCCGAACGAGUGGAGACUGCAUCGGCACCUUAUCCUUUCCCUGCAGGCUCGUCUGCUUCUUCCCAAUCCUUCAUUUCUAAUCACUUAAUCAGAGGAGAGUGAGGCGAUCUGGCUGGGCUGCUCUUCUUCGGGGACGUCGCCGUUUACUUGCCCGCGCCAACGGCCAGCUACUCGCCGGGAUUCGCCGUGUGCCCAUGUACAGCCGCCUUCCAGAAGCCAUCCGAGGGGCGGCCCGCAACGCUCGCGCGGAGGUCCCGACUUAGGAGGUGGACGAGGCUGUGUGGCUCGCGGCUGAGCUGCUCUUAGCCUGGGUCGCCAUCGUCUCCGUGCGCCACGCUGACAGGAAGCUGGUCGCCGAGUUCCCGGGCAUUCGCCGCGCACCCAGGUACUCCGACGCCUCCCCAGUAGCUGUCCGAGCGGCGGACCGCGACGCUCGCGCGAGUGUCCAAUGGCUCCGGUGUUCUGAUGAGCGUGGCUGCCGGCCAUGGCCGUGGUCGUGUGCCACUGCCUCUCCCGCUGCCACUGGAAUGACGGAGGCUCGCGGCCAAGAUCCGGGGAGAAGGAGCUCCGUGACGGCGAGCUCCUCUAGGAGCAGGGCGACCACGUACUCCAAGAGCACGACGACGACGACAAGGUUGAGGCUCCUUCGGGCAACCUUAACAAGGAGGAGGGUGGCAGCUGGAUGAGGGUUAAAAUCACGCCGGAGUCACCGUGUUGUCCUCUGACGACACAGCCGGCGCCCCAUGAUCUUCAGCACGGUCGCGGCGCGGCGGCUGGACCUCCCUGCCAGCCUGCCCGGCCAAACUCCACAAGCUGCAGCUCACGGAUCCAAUCCAAGAAACGUCCUGCCAGCUAGUGCCAUGGUUCCCCCACGGAAGGGGCAGGGAGUUCUAGCGAAGCUUUAUACAAGGAGCUAUGGCAUGCUUGGGCUAGGCCGUUGAUCACAGUGCCUCACCAAGGUGAAAGUUUACUACUUUUCGCAUGUUUAUAUUGGAACAUGCAUGUUUAUAUUAGAACAGGUAUGUCUCGCCGUCAUUGGUGUUUGCUCUUCUUGAUGCCCCAUAACCAAUGAAUGAAUUUGCUACACAACACAAACAGUAGCUAUUUGUGUUAUGGGACACUGCUUUGUUCUUGUGUUAAAAAAUGACAAUAUGACUUUGUUUAUGCGGAAUAAUCAUCCAGGUAUUUAAAGUUCA